rnacentral:rRNA from 1 species
AGGUUGGGGUGACCUCGGAGAAUAGAACAACCUCCGAGUGAUUUCAGCACAGACAAACCAGUCGAAGCAUUUUAUCAUUUAUUGAUCCAACAACUUGAUCAACGGAACAAGUUACCCUAGGGAUAACAGCGC